GCCCUUUUUGGGUCUAAUUUGUCUCAUUUUGGGUCUAAUUUGUCCCAUUUUGGGUCUCAUUCAUCUCAUUUUGGGUCUCAUUCAUCUCAUUUUGGGUCUCAUUCAUCUCAUUUUGGGUCAUUUUGGGU
rnacentral:lncRNA from 1 species